AAUCGUAAUAUUCAGAACCUACGUGAAUAUGGUUACCGUAUAAUUCAUCCCUUUUGACCCCCUGUGUUUAGGAUGACUCAGGGUUAAACUGUCAACCCUGAUGAGAUCAUCCGAAUCGUGCUCAACUCAAUUAGUCCUGUGACUCCUCACUAGGACUACCCUGGCCAAGAUUUUGAUAAAUUGAAACAUGACUGUACACAGCUCCUAAACUAGAGUGGUCAAUCCCAUCUUGACACACGCACCGACAAGUCAAGUACUUGACUACACCCAGCAGCCUUCUGUCACUGAAUUAGAAAUUCAGGUAGUCCAGUGCCUAAGUAUAGUGAGUUGCUUGCAAGUCACCAUGGCGGUCUC
rnacentral:lncRNA from 1 species